UAGCUCAGUUGGUAGAGUGCUUGCCUUGCAUGCACAAGGCCCUGGGUUCAAUUCCUAG
rnacentral:tRNA from 1 species